rnacentral:tRNA from 1 species
GGUUUGAUGCUUGAGCGGUUAAUGAGGAAGGAUUGUCAAUUCAUUUACAAUAUGUCUUUGUUGGUUCAAAUCCAACUCAGCUCA